rnacentral:rRNA from 1 species
GAUGAACGCUGGCGGCGUGCAUAAUACAUGCAAGUCGAACGCUGGAGAUCUAGCUUGCUAGAUCGAAGGAGUGGCGAACGGGUGAGUAAUACAUAAGCAACCUACCCACGAAGACUGGGAUAAUCUCUGGAAACGGGGACUAAUACCGGAUAGGUAAUCGGAAGGCAUCUUCUGGUUAUUAAAGGUUAAAAACACUGGUGGAUGGGCUUAUGGCGCAUUAGUUAGUUGGUGAGGUAACGGCCCACCAAGACGAUGAUGCGUAGCCGGCCUGAGAGGGUGAACGGCCACAUUGGGACUGAGACACGGCCCAGACUCCUACGGGAGGCAGCAGUGAGGAAUAUUGGACAAUGGUCGGAAGACUGAUCCAGCCAUGCCGCGUGCAGGAUGAAGGUCCUAUGGAUUGUAAACUGCUUUUGUAAGGGAAGAAUAAGGAGUACGUGUACUUUGAUGACGGUACCUUACGAAUAAGCAUCGGCUAACUCCGUGCCAGCAGCCGCGGUAAUACGGAGGAUGCGAGCGUUAUCCGGAAUCAUUGGGUUUAAAGGGUCCGUAGGCGGGCUGAUAAGUCAGAGGUGAAAGCGCUUAGCUCAACUAAGCAACUGCCUUUGAAACUGUCAGUCUUGAAUGAUUGUGAAGUAGUUGGAAUGUGUAGUGUAGCGGUGAAAUGCUUAGAUAUUACACAGAACACCGAUAGCGAAGGCAUAUUACUAACAAUUUAUUGACGCUGAUGGACGAAAGCGUGGGGAGCGAACAGG